ensembl:lncRNA
CAGGGAUGUGGGCUUGGCUGACCCUGGUGGGAAAGUCUGAGGUCUCGGAGGCUGGGUUUCAGGGUCCGGCUGGGGGACAGAUGACACCGCCCUGAGCUCGAGCCUUUAUGGAGCACUGUUGUGGGAGGCACUGGGAAUGCAAAGACCCUUAGGCCUGGCUCCUCUUCAGAGCUACCUGUGGUCUGGAGAGAAAGGCUUACGGCACUGUCAGCACCACGAAGCCACGCACGGGGUGCCGUCUGGACACACCCAGCCCCGCUGAGAUCCGAGCAGGCUCCCUGGAGGAGGUAACUCUGCACUUGCCCAGUGAAGACAGGUUCGAAGGGAAUGCUAGGCAAAUGUUUCCUCUGCAGACUAUUGACCGUCUACUGUGUGCCAGGUGCUGAAAAGCACAAAAAUGCUUGGGAAGCCUAAAACUGGAGACCUUGUGUAUGGUGUGGAAAGCAGCAGGCAGUCAAAUCUUUCUAGGUGCUGGCUGCGAUGGAGCUGGACAGGCUACGUCACCUCAUGGGCUCCACAACUAUCCAGGCCGCCCGGAAGGGGCGCACAGCAGAGCUAAGGCUCACUUCCGCACGGAGGGGCACCUGGGACGCCUGUCCUGCUCAGGUUAGGGCUGUUUGGAACUUCUUUGUGUUUUUCCUUAAGAGUCUUUUGCUCUUCCUCAGAGGAGAUAAAAAUAGAGCUUUCCUCACAGCAGAAGGAAAAAACCAGAGCUUCCUGUGUGUCUGAGGGGGAACUGAUUUUUGUUAGAUGUGAAAUUUCUCAUUCUCACCACAGUUCAAUAUUCUGCCAUUUCAUGUUUUGUCCCCAAGACUCAAGAAAACCAGUCCUGCUGGAGAAUGUUAUAAAACACCCUCUGUGACAGCCGUGCCAAGCUGUGCCCUUGGGCACUCCACCACUGCCCAGCCCUGAAGGUCCCCCCGCAGGGAGGACCUCUCUGCAUGGACCUCCUUCCACUCCUGACCAAGCUAGUUUUUUGGAAGUUUGUGUAGAACCCUCAGAGAAGGAAUUAUUUUUUGGAUUUGAGUGAUAAAUUGAUGGUAAAGUCAAUAUUAAGGCACCAAACAUGUUGGAUUCAUACAGUGUUUGAUUCUCAUAUCUACACAAACCCCAGCACCCUGGUACUAUACCCCAGUAUUACAGGUAGGAAAACUUAGUUUUUGUUUUGAGACAGGGUCUCACCGUGUACUUCAGGCUGGCCUUGAACUAUGUACCUCAGGCUGGCCUCGAACUCACAGUGAUUCUCUUGCCUUGGCCUCCUCGGUGUGUGCCACCAUACACAGCUGAAAAUUGAAAUUUAAGCAACCCAAGUAGGCAGGUGUGGUGGAUGCCUGUAGCCUGCAAGUGUAGCACCCUGGGAGGCUGAGGCAGAAGUGCAAGUUUGAGCCCAACCAGGGCAACUUAGUGAGAACCAGUCUCAAGGGCUGGGGACUUACACAGAUCAGUAUGAAGGCGCUGGGUUCAAUCCCCAGUACCACACACACAGAAAAAGGCCAGGUAGAUGCCCACAGUCACUCAGUAAAUGACGCCUCCACAGCCUCUGGCAGUGAACAAGCAGCUCUCAC